rnacentral:piRNA from 1 species
GAACCUGCUGUGUACAAAAUGGUGUA